AUACUCUCCAGAGUACAGCACCCGAGGCUCGUUAACCUCAUAGGCUUCUGCGUAGACUCGAAAGGCCGGAAAUUACUAGUUGUGGAGUACAUGCCAAAUGGUUCUUUAUACAGUCUUUUACACUAUAGCUCCAGGCCGCCCGGUUGGACCAGGCGUGUCCGGUUCGCUUUGCAAAUAGCCAAGGCGGUUCAAGCUUUGCACUUCGCGAAUCCGCCUGUGAUUCACAGAGACAUAAAAUCAUCAAAUGUGUUGAUCGACGAGAACUGGAA
rnacentral:misc_RNA from 1 species